rnacentral:tRNA from 1 species
UGAGUGUAACAUAAGCGAAAUGUAUCUCACUUACACUGAGAAGAUACUUGUAUUUCAAGUCACUUUAA